UUCUAACAACCGAAAAUCUCCUUCCCUUGCUUUCGGAAGAGGUAAUGUGCAUUUCUUAAGAACCAGUUUUCCAGUCCUUUUUUAAUCUAAAAUUUGAAAAAUUACUAAAAGUUCUCUUGAUAAAAAUAUGGACAACAACGAAACAAUGUGCAGUGAUUUUAUGCAGAAUAAAAGUGACUAUUUUGUCUAUAUGGUCAAUUUUGCCUACAAAAGGAGUUCAAGUUUAGCAAUUUUCCCCAUAAAUUUACCAUAUCUUAAAUUAAAGGGUAAAUUACACUUUUCAUGUUUGUAAUAUUCAUCCAAGUUAAUUCAGUACACUUAGUUUAAAAAUACAUUUUUAAUUUUUCUAGUUUUGAAAACAUACAAUUCAGUUUCACUUGAACGCCUUGAAAGGCCAUUUACCAUUUCAUUCAUAUAUAUAUUUGGCCGAGAAUUCUCCGAAAGGUACUUAACUAUUUUCCUUACUCUAUUUUCUACCGUUACUGCUACAACUAGAAUAGAUACCAUGAAAUUGUCAGUAAAAAUGGAUUUAUGCCUUUCUCAUUGUUAUUCCUUGUAUAAAUAGAGAUUAUAGUCUAUACUAGUAAUUUCAAUAAAUAAUUACAAUUAAUGAGAACAAAUCAAUUUCUGAUUUGUGUAACUUAUUCUAGAGACAAAUUGAUAAAUAUAAUUAAUGAGAUUAAUCAAUUCCUGAUUCACAACUCCCCUCAAAUUGAUGCGGAUGAUCAAGUAGCAUCAAUUUGUUAACAAGAAACUGAUGGCGCGGACGAGGAACAACUUUAGUAAGAUCAUCUGCAAUUGAGUGUUGGCGCGAGGAAGUGAAAUAACAUGAUUAUCACAGGUCUCCCUAAUAGAAUGACAAUCUACUUCAAUGUGCUUUGUGCACUCAUGAAAAACAGGAUUGGAAACAAUUUAAAUGGCACUUGUAUUGUCAGCAUAGGGAGAUGUUGGCUCUGUUUGAGGAAACCCAAGUUCAGACAAAAGACCACAAAGCCAAAUUAUUUCAGAACAAGCAAUUUGAAUUUGUUGAUUGUCGUGAUAAGAAUGUAAAUUGUGCAAAUACGCAGACGAACCUAUCAUGUGAUUCGAUGCACCAGAAUCAAGAAACCAUGGAUGAGAAACAUCAGAAAACUUACCCUGGAUGCCCAAGGCUGAAAGUGCAUAAAGUACCAUUUUUUGAAUCAUUUCAGGCUAAAUGGUACCGCCCUCAAAUGCACCACUAGAAGAAGGACCAACUACAAGUCUUGUCAUGGCAUGGAAUGCCUGCAUCGAACGUUGUGUGGGUCGUGGGGGACGUGUGGGACAGUCAGAGAUGAGAUGACUUUGUUCUUUGUAGUAAUUACAAAACUUCUUACUGCAACUACGAGCAACAUGUCCAAAUUGGUUGCAUGAGAAGCAUUGGACCUGUCGCAUAUCACGACCUUUACCUCUACUCUGGGCAGCAUAUGCAAGCGUCACAGGUUCAGAAACAACAUCAUGAGACAUGGUUCCUUGAGUAAGGAGACGUUGCUCCUCCGUGAGAAGCUCACCAACACAUGUAUCCGAAGAGGGAACAUGACUUCUAUUCAGUAAAGCACCUCUAACAGCCUCAAAUUUCGGACGAAGCUUCAUGAGAAAUUGAUCCCUCCUACUGGUAUUGUAGACAAUUUGGACAUCCACGAGAGAAGUCUUGGGAACAGCGGCAUGUAUAAUGGCAGAGUGUUAUGUCCACAAAUUUAAAAACCAGAAUAGUAUUCCUGAACAGACAAAUUACGUUGUUUGUAAUUGGUUAUCUUUAGCUCCAACUGAAAACGUUUGGCUGUAUUGUCUUGGUUGUAAAUACGCUCAGUUGAGAAAGAGCGCAAAUUAUUGAUCAUUUGAGGAUCAAUAGUACUGAGAGUCCAAGAAAUAAUUUGAGCAUCUUUGAUUUCCCACGCGUCUAAAGCAACUGUCUCUGGUGGUGCCUUAAAAAUCUCAUCCAAGUGACUCCAUAAUGCUCUCCCUUUGACAUACAUCUUGAGUUGAAAUUCCCAAGUAGCGUAGUUAUUUCCGGUGAAGCGAACACAAAACUAAUCUCUUUCUUUUUCCAAAGCCAUGAAAACUAGUAUUGUUGCAGCCAACAACAAAAUGGACGGGACAGCAAAACGUGAACAUCACAAAAUCACAACUUGCACUGGUAAAUAGAGGUUGGAACCUAACACGUCCACAAACUUAGACUUGUGAACAAGAAUAAGUGAACAAAUACAAUCACAAGCCAAAAUCGAAUCAGAAAUCAGAAACACAAGCGAACAAAUUCGACGACGAACAAACUUGAUCCCGGAAUCACAAAUUGAAGCAGAAAUUCAAUUGCGACCAAGGAGAAUCAUAUUUCAAGCAAGAGUUACGAACAAUGACAACCGAGAUCAAGAAACCACGAGCAAGAAAGCAGAAAGGGAUUUCGAAAAAUUCGAAAACCUAAACUCCAAGAAAUUUAGGAUCGUAACAAGCUGAUACCAUGUUAGUAAAAAUGGCUCGAUGCCUUUCUCAUUGUUAUUCCUCGUAUAAAUAGAGAUUAUAGUCUAUACAGGUAAUUACAACAAAUAAUUAUAAUUAAUGAGAACAAAUCAAUUUGUGUAACUUAUUCUAGGGACAAAUUAAUAAAUAUAACUAGUGAGAUUAAUCAAUUCCUGAUUCACAGAAUAUGUUGCCUUUUUUUUAAUGUAGAGUUUAUUCCAAAUUUUCCACCAAAAGGUUACUCUAUCUGAUAUUAGAGAAAAUUAAAUUAAAUUUUUGAUCAAAAUGGAGUUAGUUGAUCCCUGUCCAACCCGUCUAUAGGAAAAAGGCUUGAGCUGAUUUAAUGUUACCAUUGCCUAAUCUACAGUAAAGUUUAUCUGGGAACAAAAUUCAAGUGGUAAAAUGUAGCUUACAAUUAAUUAAAUCUGCUUGCCCUUAUUUUACUUAGUAUGAAACCAUAUAGCUCUUUUUCCUUUUUAUGUGUUUAUACUUAUAGCCCUUGAAAUCUCAUCCAAGAAUUUAAUUUUAAUACUUAAUACCAUUUGUUCAAUUCUCACAGUAAUAUCAUGACACAAUUGAAGAGAUAUUUAAUUAAUUCAAUCUUUACAUUUCAUAUGAUGGUGAUACUUACCAACCAGUUAUUCAUGAUCCAGGUUUUGUUCUUGCGAGAGCAACUUCACUCUCUCAUGACUGAUAAUGGUGCUCCUACUCCUUCCAACUGAUGAUACUCUUAGUUUUAGCUUAUGUAACGGGCUCCUACAAUAAAAUUAAAUUCGACCCGGUUUUAGCAUCGGUUCAAUACAUAACAUUCACAUGUUGUAGUGGUCAUGUUGAAUAGGUCAAAAACCAACUAUAGCUUUACCUUUGUGUGUAAGGGAUUUAAAACUGCAUAACUAUAAAAUAAUUGUGUACACAUGGGAAGAAUAGCAUGUGGAUCGCAUUACACAUUGUUGGAAGAAG
rnacentral:lncRNA from 1 species